CCAAGCUAACGAUGCGGGUUCGAUUCCCGCUAUCCGC
rnacentral:tRNA from 1 species